AUUGAACGCUGGCGGCAGGCCUAACACAUGCAAGUCGAGCGGAUGAAGGGAGCUUGCUCCUGGAUGCAGCUGCGGACGGGUGAGUAAUUCCUAGGAAUCUGCCUGGUAGUUGGGGAUAACGUCCGGAAACGGGCGCUAAUACCGCAUACGUCCUGAGAGAGAAAGUGGGGGAUCUUCGGACCUCACGCUAUCAGAUGAUCCUAGGUCGGAUUAGCUAGUUGGUGGGGUAAAGGCCUACCAAGGCGACGAUCCGUAACUGGUCUGAGAGGAUGAUCAGUCACACUGGAACUGAGACACGGUCCAGACUCCUACGGGAGGCAGCAGUGGGGAAUAUUGGACAAUGGGCGAAAGCCUGAUGCAGCAAUGCCGCGUGUGUGAAGAAGGUCUUCGGAUUGUAAAGCACUUUAAGUUGGGAGGAAGGGCAGUAAGUUAAUACAUUGCUGUUUUGACGUUACCAACAGAAUAAGCCCCGGCUAACUUCGUG
rnacentral:rRNA from 1 species